rnacentral:rRNA from 1 species
ACUUGUUCUUUAAAUAAGGACUAGUAUGAAUGGCAUCACGAGGGUUAUACUGUCUCCUCUUCCUAAUCAGUGAAACUAAUCUUCCCGUGAAGAAGCGGGAAUACAGCUAUAAGACGAGAAGACCCUAUGGAGCUUUAAAUUUCUCUUCAACUGCCCCUCCCCCUCCCCACGUCUUUGACUUCUUACAUUUACUUCGGCACCAUGAAGAUGAAUUUUAGGUUGGGGUGACCGCGGAGCACAAAAUAACCUCCACAUUGUAUAGGCCUAAAACCUUGAGCAAAGAACAACAAUUCUAUGCACUAAAACAUUAACACCCAUUGACCCAAUACACUUGAUCAACGAACCAAGUUACCCUAGGGAUAACAGCGCAAUCUUCCUCGAGAGUUCAUAUCGACAGGCAGGUUUACG